GGACCAUAGCUCAGUAGUAGAGCAUCUGCCUUGCAUGCAGAACAUCCCAGGUUCAAUCCCUGGCACCUCCA